rnacentral:rRNA from 1 species
UACGGGGGGGCAAGCGUUGUUCGGAAUUACUGGGCGUAAAGGGCUCGUAGGCGGCCAACUAAGUCGGACGUGAAAUCCCUCGGCUUAACCGGGGAACUGCGUCCGAUACUGGAUGGCUUGAGUGUGGGAGAGGGAUGCGGAAUUCCAGGUGUAGCGGUGAAAUGCGUAGAUAUCUGGAGGAACACCGGUGGCGAAGGCGGCAUCCUGGACCACGACUGACGCUGAGGAGCGAAAGCCAGGGAGCAAACGGG